AAUCAUAAGAAAUGUUAAUCUUGGAGAAAGAGGCUGUCUUGUAGAACACAAAUGGAACUUUAAAAAAGAAAGCACGGUCCAUGAAACUUAACAGUCCUGCUUUCAGUAGGAGGACUUGACCUGGGAUUUGCUGUGAACCAUGGGAUGUGGCUGAAAGUGAUGAUGGGUCCAUCCCAAGUGGAGGAUUUAAGAGGCACCACAUUUGGUUUUACCCUGGAGUGUCUGCCCUUUGCCAUGAUAACAAUAGGUCCCAUGGAAUGGGCUGAAUGGUGUCCACCCUCCUCCCAAAGGUAUGUUCAUCCAGAGCCUGGAAAUGUCACCUUAUUUGGAAAUGGGAUCUUUGCAGAUGCAGUUAAGUUAAGAAUCUCUUGAUGAAAUCAUACUGCAUUAUCUAGGUGGGCCUUAAAUCCAAUGGCAAGUGCCCUUACAAGAAAAAGGCAGAGGAAGAUUUGAGAUGUACAAGGGACAAAAGAAAAGGGGCUGUGAAAGCAGAGGCAGAGACUGGAGUGAUACAUGUACAAGCCAAGGAAUGCUAAGGACUGCCAGUGACCACCAGGAGCUAGGAGAGAGGCAUGGAACAGAUUCUCCCUCAGCACCUCCAGAAAAAGUCAACAACCCUGUCAACACUUGGAUUUUGGACUCCUGGCCUCCAGAACUGUGAAAAAAUAAAUUUCUGUUGUUUUAAGCCACCCAGUUUGUGGUAAUUUGUUACAGCAGGGUAGGAAUCCAAUACAGCCCAGAUCGUGGCUGCUCUUUAGCUUGAGUCCCAGAAGAGGAGACACAAAGGGCUAUGUUGGGCCAGUGAGCCCAGCCAGGACCAGCAGAGUUGCUACUGACCAAGGAGUAAGAAAUAAACGUUUGUGAUAAGCCACUGAGAUUUUGGAGUAUUUUUUUUUUUUUUACCAAGAAAAAGCCAAGUAAUAUUUCUAUACAGUAAGAAUUAAACUAAUUUAAACUAAGGAAAAUUUGGUUACUUCAAGAUGUAAAAAUUUCUGUUCAACAAAAGCCACCAUAUACAAAGUACAAAGACAAGCCAAGAGAAGAUGGGCAAUGUAUAAAACAAAGGAUUAGAAUCUAGAAUAUCAAAGAAUGCCUGAAAAUCAGUGGAGGUGGGUGUGGAAGGGAGAGAGAGAGAGAAAGAAACACACACACACACACACACACACACACAGAAACCCAGUGAAAAAUGGGAAUAGGAUAUAACAAUCCACAGAAGAAAAAAUGCAAAGGCCAAAAACCGUGAAACAACGCUCAAACUCAUUAGUUACCAGGAAAAUGAAAAUUAAAACUUUGACACCAGUUUACAGCCGGCAAACUGGUAAAGAAAAAGACAUUUAACUUUGAAAAACUAAAUGUUGUUGAUAAUGUGUACACAUUUGGAUAAGAAAGUAAAUUGGUACAUCCACUUUGCAGAGUGAUUUGGCAAUAUCUAGUGAUGCUUAGCACAUGCAUUCCCUGCCUAGCAAUGCCAUUUUCAGGUAUAUCCUCUUGGGAAGCUUUCAUAUUAUUUAGCAAGGAGACACAUAAAAGGCAGCCUUUAUACAGUAUUGUCUGUAAUAGUAACAUCAUUGGCAAAAAUCCCAGCAGCAAUUAGUGGGGGAGAGGCUAUAUAAACUAUAGUGUAGAGUGGAAUACUACAUAGCAGCUAAAAUGAAUGAACUAGGUGUAUUUGAUCUCAAAAACAAAUUGUAUGAAAAAAAAAAGCAAGCUGCAGUUGGAAUGAUUCUAUUCAUAUGAAUUAUUUAUGAAUACAUGUAAUGGUAGGCUAGAACCACACCAAAUUCAACACAGUGGUUGCCCAUAAGAAGGGAGAGAAAAUGGUACUAGCCACAAAAUAAAGAACUUGAAAUUUACUGACAAUAUAUAAAAGAAGAUCUGAAGCAAUUAUGACAAAAUGAUUACAUUUGUUAAUUCUGCAAAGCAUGUACACAGGUUUUGUACUAUCCUUAAACUUUUUUUUUUAAAGAAACUGCUGUACAGAUGAGAACUCUCUCCCCAGGGCACUAGUAUCUGGUCACCUAUGGGACACUGGGAAAGGUUACUGCCCCUCUUUGUCCUCAGACCAGUGGUGCCCUUCACCAGGGUCAGCCUGACUAGCAGGGAGAGGGGACCUGCCCUGAAUGUGAAGUCCUCAACUUAGUCACACACUUGUAUUAAGGCUUUGACACUAUAGAAGCAAUAGUUACCCUUAAAGAGCUAACACCUUAAGCCAUAGCCUGCCUUAGUGCCUUAAUGCCAAUUUUUUUAUGAAUACGGUGUGGCUGAAGUGAGAGCCUGCAGUGCUGGGGCAAAGAAGAAAGAGGCGCUGGUCUCUCAGGGCACCAGGUGGAAGAAAAGGGGCAUGGUUGUCUGGGAUAAGGGUGAGGACCUGACAAAAUGGAAAGAGUGUGUGAUCAGAGAAGAUCCAGUGCGGACGGAAGAAGGACCAUCUGAGACAAAUGUCAUCUUUCCCUACUUCUACCCAACAGGACUGGACAGUUCCCUCAGUCUCCCACAGGAAAUCUCUUGUCUCCCUAUUUCUUGAGCUAGGGAGGAUAACUGAUGCCUCUCUGGUUUCCACUCUUCCCUCCGUCAUUUCUAUUGGAUUUGCUCUACCCUCAAAGAAAGCAAAAAGGUUACAUUCAAGAGAAAUUCCUGUCACUCAGAGCUGCAACUGGAUUCUUCUCAGAUACUUCUUCAUUCAUUCAACCAACUCCUGCACACCUAUUACCUGCAAGUCUUAGUGUUAUGUUCUGUGCCUUCUAUAGCCUUGUAAAAACCCUGCCACCUGCCUUUAAAGAACCACCGUUCUGAUGGGAAGCUCAGACAAGUACACGAGAUGGACUCCCAGAUGGCAAGUUCUAAGAGAGACCCUCUUGCUCCACAUGUGUUUAUUCAGCUGUAUGCGUUUCCUCUUCCUGUCCCAGGCUUACCGAAGACUGUCUGAAAUCCAACCAACACUGUGUGGUGAGACCUGGUGUCCCCUUUCAACCAGAAAACAUGUCUUCUCUCAUAUCAGGAAAAAAAAUAAAAGCAAUCUCAUAACUGGCUUUGCAUUGCAGACAUACUUGUGAGGGUGCAAAUAUGAAAAUAUUUAAAAUAUUUGAUCUAUUUUGGGUGAGGUUUUGUAGCUUUGGCCUGACAGAAUGUCAUCUGAGAGGCAGUGAUUUCUCUUGGGGGCAGGACUAUUUUUAAGAUCCAAAAAAAAGAGAAAACAUAUUUUCAAAGAGAUAGUUGAGUCUGGUACUACAUGGGGAAAGAUGGCUGUUUGGAACAAGCAAACUAGCUAUGUAACUUAGAUGCAUCUAAUCACUGAUCAAGCUCUGCUGGGGUUUGAUCUCAUUGUACCACCGAGAGAGCGUGUGUGAGACCUGAGAUGUUCUUUGCAGCCUCACACGCCUCCUUCACACAGGUUGUCCAGCCGCACCUCACCUCAUGCUCUCUCGUGCUCUCAUCUUUCUCCACUGGUCAGUGCCCUCUGUCUAAAAACAUGUCCAAGGCUUGGGGGAAAAUCACCUUUGGGUCUUGUUUCUUUUAGCUUCACUCCUGUCUUUUCUUUCGAUGUCAAAUUUCUCCAAAUAAUUAAUUUAUCAUGCAGUCUCCCUCCGCCCCGACUCUUCUUCCAUGACUUCCCUUCUUCUUGGCUGUCUCUGAUAGCCCCUGCCACUGGUGUCUUACCUCUCCGGCCUCUCUGAUUUUCCCACUUGGUCUUUCUUUUCCUACAGUGUGGACAUACCCCGGCCUGAUCUCUCUCUUAGAGAAUAAUAAUAUCUACUUCAUGGGGCAGAUGUAAGAAUUAAAUGAGAUAAAAUGUUUAUGAAGUUGGUUUGUGAACUAAACGCUCAUUUAUUUAUUCAUGAAGUACCUUCCCCAUACUGAAACUUUUCUCAGUCCUGUAUAAGGCACUGUACGGCCUCUUCCCGUAAAGGGCUUUGCCUUUUGCUGGCAGACACACGUUCUCAAAGAAACAAAGUAAAGUGGGCAGGUCUUGUCAAAAGAAUUCUGUACAGUGAGGGUCACACUGAGCUACCAGAGAGGGAGAGGUCAUUUUUAUCUUAGUGGUUUUUUUUUUUUUUAAAUCUCACUUGUUCUCAUGUUUUCAACAAUUACCUCUUCUGAUAUGAAAAAUAAAAAUACAUAUUUAGCCCUGAACUUUUGCUUUCAUCAUGAAUUUCCUUGCUCAGAAAUCUUCAAUAUCACCUUACCACUAAAAGGAUAAAGUCAAAACUUGGCUUGGCAUUUUACAGUGAUCCAUAAUCACCCUCUUCUUGCCUCUCUGCUGAUUCUGACACAAACCACUCCCCCUCCCAGUCUGACCUGCACCUCCUGUCUCAAGGACUUCAGUCAUCUUGCUUCUCCCCCUUCACACUUACCUGAGCCCCAGGACCCACUGGAAAGCCAUCCCUAAAAUCUCAGCCCUCAGUCAAUAGCCCUCCUUAAAUGAGCUACAGAACUGCUGUCAGACCCACUCAUUUUCUGUUUAUCCAUUACUGACUUAUUUGAUUUGGAUUUUUACAUCCUAUAUUAAUUAGUUAAUGACUGAUUAAUCAAUUAGUUAUUUAAUUAAUAGUUAAUUAAUUAAUAAUGAACAAUAUUUCUAGAGUGCCUGCUAUGCCUUGUCAACUCUAUUAGGUCCUAGUGAUGUAGUGGUGAACAAGGCACAGAACGUUUAAAAACGGGGCCAUACAUAAAAUUAUGGGCCAUAUAUUAUGCUCAUUUUUAUCCCCCCCAUGCUGACUUUGGGGGCCAGAAUUGGAAGUACAAGCAAACCAAACAGUAAGAUAUCUUGACAAAAACUAUUUAUGUUCAACUGUAUACAAACUCAGGAUCAAAACUGAGAAUUCGGGCUUCCCUGAUGGCGCAGUGGUUGAGAGUCCGCCUGCGGUGCAGGGGACACGGGUUUCGUGCCCCGAUCCGGGAUGAAUCUACAUGCCGCGGAGCGGCUGGGCCUGUGAGCCAUGGCCGCUGAACCUGCGCGUCCGGGGCCUGUGCUCCGCAAUGGGAGAGGCCACAACAGUGAGAGGUCCACGUACCAC
ensembl:lncRNA